GGCCGCCUACGUUGGGCCUAGGUGUGGGGGAAUUCCACGUUUUCCGCGCCGUAGCUAACGCAUUAAGUGCCCCGCCUGGGGAGUACGGCCGCAAGGCUAAAACUCAAAGGAAUUGACGGGGGCCCGCACAAGCGGCGGAGCAUGCGGAUUAAUUCGAUGCAACGCGAAGAACCUUACCAAGGCUUGACAUGUGCUAGAUCGCCAUAGAAAUAUGGUUUCCCCUUUGGGGCUGGUUCACAGGUGGUGCAUGGUUGUCGUCAGCUCGUGUCGUGAGAUGUUGGGUUAAGUCCCGCAACGAGCGCAACCCUCGUUCUAUGUUGCCAGCACGUUAUGGUGGGGACUCAUAGGAGACUGCCGGGGUCAACUCGGAGGAAGGUGGGGACGACGUCAAAUCAUCAUGCCCCUUAUGUCUUGGGCUUCACGCAUGCUACAAUGGCCGGUACAAUGGGUUGCGAUACUGUGAGGUGGAGCUAAUCCCAAAAAGCCGGUCUCAGUUCGGAUUGGGGUCUGCAACUCGACCCCAUGAAGUCGGAGUCGCUAGUAAUCGCAGAUCAGCAACGCUGCGGUGAAUACGUUCCCGGGCCUUGUACACACCGCCCGUCAAGUCACGAAAGUUGGUAACACCCGAAGCCGGUGGCCUAACCCCUUGUGGGAGGGAGCCGUCGAAGGUGGGACUGGCGAUUGGGACUAAGUCGUAAAAGGGUAACCA
rnacentral:rRNA from 1 species